UGCCAGACUCCUACGGGAGGCAGCAGUGGGGGAUAUUGCACAAUGGGGGGAACCCUGAUGCAGCGACGCCGCGUGGGUGAAGAAGUAUUUCGGUAUGUAAAGCCCUAUCGGCAGGGAAGAAUUUAGACGGUACCUGACUAAGAAGCCCCGGCUAACUACGUGCCAGCAGCCGCGGUAAUACGUAGGGGGCGAGCGUUAUCCGGAUUCACUGGGUGUAAAGGGAGCGUAGACGGCGACGCAAGUCUGGAGUGAAAGCCCGGGGCCCAACCCCGGGACUGCUCUGGAAACUGCGUCGCUGGAGUACGGGAGGGGCAGGCGGAAUUCCUGGUGUAGCGGUGAAAUGCGUAGAUAUCAGGAGGAACACCAGUGGCGAAGGCGGCUUGCUGGACGAUGACUGACGUCGAGGCUCGAAAGCGUGGGGAGCAAACAGGAUUAGAUACCCGGGUAA
rnacentral:rRNA from 1 species